CUGUUUGAGACAAGAGGUUUAAAAAGGAGGAAUGUCUUUGGACAUUGAGCACAGACUUUAACAUCAGCUGGUAUCGAUCAUCUCCAGAUUACCACGGCAACAGAGAAAGACAAAAUGAACAUCAUUCUCCUGAUUGCCAUCACCUUCACUUUAGCCCCUGUUUGCGGGGGGCAAAUCGUGUUUGAUGGCAACAUCACGGACUGGUCCGACUUGGCAUCACCCCUCUUACAACCCUGUGAAGGAAGGAGCCACGUGGCUAAGUAUAGGGCAUUUGUCAACAGACACAUCCUUCAAGGCUCCUUUGACAGAAAUUCUAUACAGCAAUGGAAAAGUUAUUUACAAGGAAAAAGACUCUGUGGCAGAGCUCCAGUGCAGACCUUCAUCGAUGCCAGACUGGGAGCUGUCCAUCAGAUCUGCAGCAGGUCAGGCCGGCGUCUGCAGGGUUCCUCAGGUAACUUGUGCAUCAGCAGGUCACUGAUGCAGGUGUAUGAUGUCAUAUCUGACCAAAAUUGCAGUAUGAAUAGGAUGAAUGUACAACCUGACAACCGGGAAGUGAUUGUGGCAUGUGAUAAGGUUAAUAAUCAGUGCCGUCCUGUCCAUUUUGAGAAAUACAGAGGCCAAAGUCCGAGCAAUAGACCCUGUACUUGAGUUGGACACUCAGUUCCAGUUGUCAGGUUUAUUAUUCCUUGACAUCUAAAUAUUUCUAUCAAGCUUUGCCAAAUGAUUUUUGCUCAUAAAAAUAUAAAGAAAUAUUGGCAUGUGAUUUUUUUUUUUUUUUAUAAAGCAACACAUUCUUUCUGCCCCCACGAGCAUGUUGUCAGGAUGAAUAUGUGCUGUGAAUAACAGAAUUUCUUUUUUUUAAUAUAUAAAUGAUGUGAUUUAAAUUAGGAUUCAAAUGUUUUCUGCUGUGACAGAAGUACAUUUUAUGCUAAAGCUCAUUUACAACUUAAAGAAAACUAAACUACUGGUACAUAAAUGUAAAACCCAAAGUUUUGUUUUCAGAUGGAUUAGAAUUCGCUCGACCACUUGAAAUUAAUUUUUCUGUCAUUUGUAUCAGUUAAAUCCUUUUACAUAGAUUGGUUUUGUCAAACUGUGUUGUAAUCCUUUUUUUUAAUUGCUAUGUAUACAGUCAAAUGCCUUCUGUCAAAAUGAUUCUCAUGUAAGAUUACUGUCAUGUCUUUCUUUUGGCAAAAAAAAAGUUUGAAUCUGUGAAAUCUGUGAUUAUUUUAUUCUUUAAGACGCAUAUCAUUAAUGAUAGCUGGUUGCUGAUGCUGUUUUCUGAGUUCAUUUUUGUUCAUGUGAAGAACUGAUAUUUUCUUCUGUGUUCUGCAGAACUCACAAUAAAUACUGCAAAUUGA